UACAGAGGGUGCGAGCGUUGUCCGGAAUCACUGGGCGUAAAGGGCGCGUAGGUGGCGUCGCAAGUCGAUGGUGAAAGCUCGGCGCUCAACGCCGAGUCGGCCCUUGAUACUGCGAGGCUGGAGCACUGUAGAGGCUAAUGGAAUUCCGGGUGUAGCGGUGGAAUGCGUAGAGAUCCGGAAGAACACCGGUGGCGAAGGCGGU
rnacentral:rRNA from 1 species